rnacentral:rRNA from 1 species
AAUGAACGCUGGCGGCGUGCUUAACACAUGCAAGUCGCACGAGAACGCUUCAGCUUGCUGAAGCAAGUAAAGUGGCGCACGGGUGAGUAACGCGUGGGUAAUCUACCCCUGAACUCGGGAUAACUUCGCGAAAGCGAGGCUAAUACCGGAUAAUAUCCUUUUAAUAUAAGUUUUUAGGAUCAAAGGUGGCCUCUACAUGUAAGCCAUUGUUUAGGGAUGAGCCCGCGUACCAUUAGCUUGUUGGUGGGGUAAUGGCCUACCAAGGCGACGAUGGUUAGCUGGUCUGAGAGGAUGAUCAGCCACACUGGAACUGACACACGGUCCAGACUCCUACGGGAGGCAG